GUUAACUGAACAGACAAGGCAUUUGGAAUGACCUCCACACGAUUCAGGUACCAGUUAAAACUGAUUUGGCCAGUUCGUGUACCCCACACCUGAUGUGCCAGCACAGAAGACUCUUAAGAGGAAAACAUAGCAGCAAACACCAGGAUCUGUCCUAAGUGAUGUCAGAGAAGGAAUAUAUUUGUGUAAACUGCACUGAUGGAACAAAUCUUUCUGGAAAAUUUGGGGCAUGAACUUGGAGUUGAAGAUUAAUAUAAUUAAGAAAUAUCAUCAGUAUAUUCCAGGUGGGAAGAAUUAAAAAAACAAGUGCAGCAAAUGUUUACUGCAAGCUGUCUGAGGACCAGCUGCCGUUCUAGCACUGGGAAUACAGUGUGAACAAGGCUGGGUUUAUGGAGCUGAUGUUCUUGUACG
rnacentral:lncRNA from 10 species